GCUCCCCUCCUCCCUCACCAAGAUAUUAAGAACUGAACCAAAGCCAGUGUAUUCUGUUUGCAACUAUGCUGUCUAGCCUAGAAAAUUAGCACAAAGCAGUAAGUGAAUAGGAAAUGCUCAUUUGAGAGAAAGGUCACCACCGUAGCUGGAUGGCUGACAAGGGGCUUUUAUUAUCUGCAUUGACCAGAAGAAUUCAGAAAAGCAAAGGACAAUAACAGUAUUGAUGAAAGGUGCCUUCAGAACCUGGCUACUCAAAGUGUGAUCCCCAAACUAGCAGCAUAGGCAUCACCUGGAGCCUAAUGGGAAAUGGAGACACUCAGCCCCCGACACCAGACCUAUGGAAUCAGAGUCUGCAUUUUGAUGUUUCCCAUGUGAUUUCCAUGCACAUUAAAGUUUGAAAACCAACCUUUAAAGCACAUAUUUAGAUUUAAUAACCUUAUUCCACAAUACCCACAUGGUUCUCUCACCUCUUUAUACACUUGAAUGCUGUGGCUCUGGCCUCUUUAAUUUCAUCCUAAAUCUAAAGUUAUAUGAUUUGCCCAGUUCCAUAAAAGCUUUUGAAAGCAUUUGUUCCUAUGUGAGAAGAACAGUGUUACCUAAGGAAAGCAUUAGUAGCUAAUACCUUUUUUUUUUCUUCAAAGUAAGCACGCAAGCAUCUCCCCUGCCUCUAUGCACACAUAGAGACCUGGCUCCAGCAGGUGCACUGCAGACCCUCUGGCAACCUGGCUGUGGAAACCUGUGAGUAAAGAAGAGAAUGACAUACAUCAUCCCUGGAAAUGCCCUCUAAAGAAUCUGAAGGGUAGUUUGUGAUGCGAACAUGGAGGAAUCCCUUUCUUAAGUAGGAGUUGAUAUUACUAGAAGGAUAAAGGACUCACUCAGCAUGGAGGGAGAUCAGAUCACCGCAGAUCCCUGCUCUUGAAAUUGGAAAUCAAGUCAACCUGACUCAUAAAGAGCAAUGGGCAAAUCCAACUGUAAAAAAGCCAAUGAUUUUGGACAAUCUAUGCUACUUCUCUUUCAGAACUUAGUUGACUACUAGACUU